rnacentral:rRNA from 1 species
UACGUAGGUGGCAAGCGUUGUCCGGAUUUAUUGGGUUUAAAGGGUGCGUAGGCGGCCCUGUAAGUCAGCGGUGAAAUACGGCAGCUCAACUGUCGAGGUGCCGUUGAUACUGCGGGGCUUGAGUGUUGAUGAGGCAGGCGGAAUUUUCGGUGGAGCGGUGAAAUGCAUUGAGAUCGAAAAGAACACCAACGGCGAAAGCACUCUGCUGGGCCGACACUGACACUGAGAGACGAAAGCUAGGGGAGCAAAUGGG